rnacentral:lncRNA from 1 species
AUAAGGAAGAAAGAAUUUUUUUGGCUCCUGGUUUCAGAGGACUCAACCCAUGGUCUCUUGUCACCAUUGUUUCCAGGAUCACAGGCCUUUCUGGGAAUCGUUCCACUGUCCACCAAGACAUUCACAACUUAAGGUCAAGUCUCCUCCAUGCCUCCUAAAAGAAUGGAGAAAGAAGUGAGCAAGCCCCUGGGACUGCCUACUCUAAGGCUGUGCUUCCUGUUGAAGAGGUUUU